rnacentral:tRNA from 1 species
GGCUCAGUAGUCAAGUGGUUAAGACAUAACUCUUUCAUUGUUACAUGCUUGGGUUCGAUCCCCAACUGAGCUA